GAUCCUGGCUUAGGAUGAACGCUAGCUACAGGCUUAACACAUGCAAGUCGAGGGGCAGCAUGUGGUUGCUUGCAACCAAUGAUGGCGACCGGCGCACGGGUGAGUAACGCGUAUCCAACUUCCCCUUAGUAGGGCAUAGCCCGUAGAAAUGCGGAUUAAUACCCUAUGUUGUAUAUUGAGGACAGUCUGAUUUAUACCAAAGGUUCACCGCUAAGGGAUGGGGAUGCGUCUGAUUAGGUAGUCGGCGGGGUAACGGCCCACCGAGCCUACGAUCAGUAGGGGUUCUGAGAGGAAGGUCCCCCACAUUGGAACUGAGACACGGUCCAAACUCCUACGGGAGGCAGCAGUGAGGAAUAUUGGUCAAUGGACGAGAGUCUGAACCAGCCAAGUAAGCGUGCAGGAUGACGGCCCUAUGGGUUGUAAACUGCUUUUAUACGGGGAUAAAGUGAGGGACGUGUCCCUUUUUGUAGGUACCGUAUGAAUAAGGACCGGCUAAUUCCGUGCCAGCCGCUGC
rnacentral:rRNA from 1 species